GUAACCAGCAGGUAGACUAGUGGUUAGAGUGUUGGACUAGUAACCAGCAGGUAGCCUAGUGGUUAGAGUGUUGGACUAGUAACCAGCAGGUAGCCUAGUGGUUAGAGCAUUGGACUAGUAACCAGCAGGUAGCCUAGUGGUUAGAGUGUUGGACUAGUAACCAGCAGGUAGCCUAGUGGUUAGAGUGUUGGACUAGUAACCAGCAGGUAGUGGUUAGAGCGUUGGACUAGUAACCAGCAGGUAGCCUAGUGGUUAGAGUGUUGGACUAGUAACCAGCAGGUAGCCUAGUGGUUAGA